rnacentral:RNase_P_RNA from 1 species
GCGGAUGGCCGGAUGACCGCGGCGGGCAACCGUCGAGGAAAGUCCGGACUCCAUGAAGGCACGGUGCCGGGUAACGCCCGGCGGGGGCAACCCCAGGGAAAGCGCAACAGAGAACAGACCGCCCGCGCAUCUGCGCAGGUAAGGGUGAAACGGUGGGGUAAGAGCCCACCGCGGGACUGGCAACAGGACCGGCAUGGCAAGCCCCACCGGGAGCAACGCCGAAUAGGGACCGCGCGUCGCAAGACAGGGCUGCCUUUGCCCCAGCAGGUCCGGGUUGGCAGCUAGAUCCCGUCAGCAAUGGCGGGGCCAGAGGAAUGGUCAUCGAAGGGGGCGACCCCGGAACAAAAUCCGGCUUACAGGCCAUCCGCGUAU